AUGAAUCCCGAGUAUGAUUACCUCUUCAAGCUUUUGCUUAUUGGAGACUCAGGUGUUGGCAAGUCAUGUCUGCUGUUAAGAUUUGUUGACGACUCAUACCUGGAUAGUUACAUCAGUACUAUUGGAGUUGAUUUUAAAAUAAGGACCGUGGAGCAGGAUGGAAAGACUAUCAAGCUGCAAAUCUGGGACAUUGCUAGGCAAGAACGUUUUAGAACUAUUACCAGCAGCUACUACCGAGGGGCCCAUGGGAUUAUUAUCGUCUAUGAUGUGACAGACCAAGAUAGCUUCAACAAUGUGAAGCAGUGGUUGAACGAGAUUGACCGCUAUGCCAGUGAGAAUGUGAACAAGCUUCUGGUGGGGAACAAAUGUGAUCUGGCUGACAAAAGAGCUGUGUCAUAUGAAACAGCAAAGGCAUUCGCUGAUGAGAUUGGCAUUCCAUUCAUGGAGACCAGUGCAAAGAACGCCCUGAAUGUUGAACAGGCUUUCAUGGCCAUGGCUGCUUCGAUCAAGGAUAGGAUGGCGAGCCAGCCAGCCGCAAACAACGCUCGCCCGGCUACUGUACAGAUCCGCGGGCAACCUGUCGAGCAGAAGACCAGCUGUUGCUCAUCUUAG
rnacentral:rRNA from 1 species